UACGUAGGGUGCAAGCGUUGUCCGGAAUUAUUGGGCGUAAAGAGCUUGUAGGCGGUUUGUCGCGUCUGCUGUGAAAUUUCGGGGCUCAACCCCGAACUUGCAGUGGGUACGGGCAGACUAGAGUGUGGUAGGGGGAGACUGGAAUUCCUGGUGUAGCGGUGAAAUGCGCAGAUAUCAGGAGGAACACCGAGUGGCGAAGGCAGGUCUCUGGGCCAUAACUGACGCUGAGAAGCGAAAGCAUGGGGAGCGAACAGG
rnacentral:rRNA from 1 species